AUAUCUCUCUGUACGGGAAGGAUGAGAAGCUUCGACUAAGGUUCGAUUCGAGCGCAGCGAGAAAGCGUUGCC
rnacentral:sRNA from 4 species